UGGGGAAUAUUGGACAAUGGGCGCAAGCCUGAUCCAGCAAUACCGCGUGAGUGAUGAAGGUCUUCGGAUUGUAAAGCUCUUUUAGUGAGGAAGAUAAUGACGGUACUCACAGAAAAAGCACCGGCUAACUUCGUGCCAGCAGCCGCGGUAAUACGAAGGGUGCUAGCGUUGUUCGGAAUUAUUGGGCGUAAAGCGUAUGUAGGCUGUUUGGUAAGUCAGUUGUGAAAUCCCCGAGCUUAACUUGGGAAUUGCAGCUGAAACUGCCUUACUGGAAUUUGGUGGGGGAUGGCGGAAUUCUUAGUGUAGGGGUGAAAUCCGUAGAUAUUAAGAGGAACACCAGAGGCGAAGGCGGCCAUCUACACCAACAUUGACGCUGAGAUACGAAAGCGUGGGGAGCAAACAGG
rnacentral:rRNA from 1 species